UACGUAGGAUCCGAGCGUUAUCCGAAUUUACUGGGCGUAAAGCGUGUGCAGGCGGUUUGGUAAGUUGGAUGUGAAAGCUCCCGGCUCAACUGGGAGAGGCCGUUCAAAACUACCAGACUAGAGGACGGUAGAGGGAGGUAGAAUUCCCGGUGUAGUAGUGAAAUGCGUAGAUAUCGGGAGGAAUACCAGUGGCGAAGGCGGCCUCCUGGACCGUUCCUGACGCUCAGACACGAAAGCUAGGGGAGCGAACGGGAUUAGAAACCCCGGUAGUCCUAGCUGUAAACGAUGCAAACUUGGUGUUGGUGGGGUAAAAUCCGCCGGUGCCGAAGCUAACGCGAUAAGUUUGCCGCCUGGGGACUACGGCCGCAAGGUUAAA
rnacentral:rRNA from 1 species